AGAGUUUGAUCCUGGCUCAGGACGAACGCUGGCGGCGUGCCUAACACAUGCAAGUGGAGCGACGAACCAGGCUUCGGCCUGGGGCAAAGCCGCGAACGGGUGAGUAACACGUGGGUAACCUGCCCCGAUGAUUGGGACAACCCGAGGAAACUCGGGCUAAUACCAAAUGUGCCCUCCGGCCAUAAGGCCGCUGGGGAAAGGAAGCUUCGGCCUCCGCAUCGGGAUGGGCCCGCGGCCCAUUAGCUUGUUGGUGAGGUAACGGCUCACCAAGGCAACGAUGGGUAGCUGGUCUGAGAGGACGAUCAGCCACACUGGGACUGAGACACGGCCCAGACUCCUACGGGAGGCAGCAGUGGGGAAUCUUGCGCAAUGCGCGAGAGCGUGACGCAGCAACGCCGCGUGGGGGAAGAUGGCCUUCGGGUUGUAAACCCCUUU
rnacentral:rRNA from 1 species